UCUUGGUCANUUUAGAGGAAGUAAAAGUCGUAACAAGGUUUCCGUAGGUGAACCUGCGGAAGGAUCAUUAUUGAAAUUAUAGGUGACGGUUGUAGCUGGCCUUUCGGGGCAUGUGCACGCCCGAGCCCUUAAUCCACACACACCUGUGAACCCAAUGUAAGGGCCCGUAAAAAAGGCCUUUAUGUCUCAUCACCAACCUUUAUGUCUCAUAGAAUGUAAAUCUAUAUCCUCGCCUUAAAAAGCGUUGAUAAAACUUAUACAACUUUCAACAACGGAUCUCUUGGCUCUCGCAUCGAUGAAGAACGCAGCGAAAUGCGAUAAGUAAUGUGAAUUGCAGAUUUUCAGUGAAUCAUCGAAUCUUUGAACGCACCUUGCGCUCCUUGGUAUUCCGAGGAGCAUGCCUGUUUGAGUGUCAUUAAAUUCUCAACUCCGAAUCGAUUUGUUUCGACCUCGGAGCUUGGACUUUGGAGUGUGCUGGCGUCUGUCGGCUCCUCUUAAAUGCAUCAGCGGAAUGUAACCCCGGACAUCAGUGUGAUAAUCGUGUUGCGCUGUCGUCCGAGGUAUAAAAGUUCGCUCAUAAUGGUCUUCGGACAAACUUUACAAUCAAAUUUGACCUCAAAUCAGGUAGGACUACCCGCUGAACUUAAGCAUAUCAAUAAGCGGAGGA
rnacentral:rRNA from 1 species